AUUGAACGCUGGCGGCAUGCUUUACACAUGCAAGUCGAACGGCAGCGGGGUAGUGCUUGCACUACUGCCGGCGAGUGGCGAACGGGUGAGUAAUAUAUCGGAACGUACCGAGUAAUGGGGGAUAACCAAUCGAAAGAUUGGCUAAUACCGCAUACGUCCUGAGGGAGAAAGCGGGGGAUCGCAAGACCUCGCGUUAUUCGAGCGGCCGAUAACUGAUUAGCUAGUUGGUGGGGUAAAGGCCUACCAAGGCGACGAUCAGUAGCGGGUCUGAGAGGACGAUCCGCCACACUGGGACUGAGACACGGCCCAGACUCCUACGGGAGGCAGCAGUGGGGAAUUUUGGACAAUGGGGGCAACCCUGAUCCAGCCAUGUCGCGUGUAUGAAGAAGGCCUUCGGGUUGUAAAGUACUUUUGUUAGGGAAGAAAAGGGAAGUGCUAAUACCACUUUUUGCUGACGGUACCUAAAGAAUAAGCACCGGCUAACUACGUG
rnacentral:rRNA from 1 species